AGAUUGAACGCUGGCGGCAGGCCUAACACAUGCAAGUCGAGCGGCAGCACGGGUACUUGUACCUGGUGGCGAGCGGCGGACGGGUGAGUAAUGCCUAGGAAUCUGCCUGGUAGUGGGGGGAUAACGCUCGGAAACGGACGCUAAUACCGCAUACGUCCUACGGGAGAAAGCAGGGGACCUUCGGGCCUUGCGCUAUCAGAUGAGCCUAGGUCGGAUUAGCUAGUUGGUGAGGUAAUGGCUCACCAAGGCGACGAUCCGUAACUGGUCUGAGAGGAUGAUCAAGUCACACUGGAACUGAGACACGGUCCAAGACUCCGUACGGGAGGCAGCAAGGUGGGGAAUAUUGGACAAGUGGGACGAAAGCCUGAUCCAGCCAUCGCGACGUGUGUAGAAGAAGGUUCUUACGGAUUAGUAAAGCUAACGUUUAAGUUGGGAAGGAAGGCUAGUUAACCUAAGUACGUAAUCGUUGUUUUAGACCGUUAACCGACUAAGAAACUAAGACCAACCGGACUUAAACGUCGUAGUCGA
rnacentral:rRNA from 1 species